UAUAUAUAUAUAUAUAUAUAUAUAUAUAUAUUUAAUGCUGAACACAAAUGGCUCGAUAUAUGUGCAAUAUAUAUCACAUUAAUUUUAUUUAUUUUAUUGUCCUACAGUGUAUUUCCUUUUCGGUCACUAUGAACUGUUUAAUUCUUCUAUAAUAAGAGCUUCAUAUAUAUAUAAAAGAUUAGCAUUGGUGUUCCACAGAAAAGCAGCACAACUAUUUCUUCAAACAGUCAGGAUAGGAAAAAUUAUUUUAACAUUUGAAAAAAUGUUAAAAGGAACUAAAGUGUAAUUCCUUGCAAUCUUAAUUGAUUCUCAUGACUAUUAAGAGAAUGUUCUGUGAACACAUUUGCUUUUUAUCACAGGCGUCUAUCUGUGAGGUCUCUAAGGCUCUUAAGGUAACCAAAGAAGGUGGCGCCGUAAGCUGACUCAAGCGUUCUAGAGUGGAAACAGCCUGUUUCUGAGCACCUGUUUAACGUUCACCUGAGAGCUCCUGGAUCUAUUUCACACUCCACUAGGUCUUUGGGAGGGGGUUGGGUGAGAAGGUUUGCAGCAUCUCCACUAGCAUCAGAAGCUCUCCAAACCGAUCGGGAAGAGGAUCUAGCUGAAAAAACUUUGAACUUCAAUGCGACCGCCACAGCCACAAUUGCACACCAGCCUGAUUAGCUGUGUUUAUCUGCGAAGGACACAGCGAUGGAGAAGCUGAUCUUUGAACUUUCAUUGUGGCAGAAACCUCAGGGGAGCAUCAGGAUCAAUCUCAGCUGGACAGGAGAUGAAGGUUACGCUGUCCUGGCCUGUGCUGAGCUGAUGGGUGAAAAGAUUCCCCUCUGGGCCUUCCUGGUUUACAAUAGCCAUUCGGUGGAGCAAAGCCAACACAUCGAUCUCUCGCCUACGGAUUAUAUACAAAGGCACCAAUCAGUGUGGAAUGUUGAACGGGAAAAUAUGCUCCUUUUUGCUCUCUACUCCAUGUGGCUUCAUUAAGCUGCUCACAGUGCAUUUCCACUCAUUUUUUGAAGCACUACUCCUUGUGUGAGUGGAACUGGCUAUGACAAUGGCACAUAAAACAUUACCACAUAAAACAACACCUGUGAGGGUGCAGGGCAUUGUGAUAAUGCACCAUAAUCUCCACAAGGACAGCACUGAUAUUUGGGGCACAUAAGCAUGAUAAUGGGAUGCAUAAAUGUCAUAAGGUGACCUCUUCAAACUGAGGGCCGAUUAUCCUUCUGGAUGUGUCAUAUUGUUCUGGUGCACUUAGAUAUGUUGCUCUCCUGUGGGCUGUUCGGCUUUUCAUGUCCUUUUCACAUGAUAAAGGAAUGUGCUUAAAACAAACGCUCAUUCAGACUACACCGGUGAACUCUGAAUACAUUUAAAAAGGAAGAGAGAGAACAGGAAAGAGAGAGAGGUGGAUUGAAGAGAUGGUUUAACAAAUGAUCAAAAUUCUGUCAUUACGUGAAUGGUUUUAUGCUGUUGUUUAGAGAUUGAGUAAGAGAUUGUAGAGAUUGAAAUUUAUAAUCAGUGUUCUGUCAGUUAUGUUGAAAAUAGAUUAAAAUCUGUUCUGAUUUCUCUUAAUGUUUAUGGUUCCAUAAUGGUUGCACAAACUAUUCAUUUAGUACUUUUAAGGAAUAAAUAUUCUGAAAAAAAAUGCAAUUCCAUUGGCAAAAUCAUUAGAUGAAUUCAAUAAUAAAUCAAUUUGAAACAAUUAUUGUUAUUGCAAAAGGUCUGUUUAGGCAAAAGCUUCAGAGACUUUGUAGAGGCAGUUUCAAUGAGGUCCAUUAAUUGGCAAAUAGAAACACAAUACAUGCAACAAGACAAAUAUAAAUAUUAAUUAAAACUUCCCAUUUACUAAUAUUUAUAUAACACUACUGACAGAACAUGUAAUUUACAUUUAUAUUUAAAUACACACUGUCAUAUACAAUUUUGUUCUAUGAGUGAACUGCACUUCACUCAUAGAACAAAUGCGCUGUGUAGGUAGGAUGGCAACAAGGUUAUAUCCUGUCUACUAAGAUACCUUUAUCUGGGUGAUUUUUGUGUUUUUUGCUGCCUAGCGCUUGAUUCUGUGACAGUUGAGCUAAAAAAUAAAAUGGCGUCUGAAAAUUGUGGUUGAAAGUUUGUGUAAAUGUAUGUUUUUUGAACAAAAUUUUCAACUUUGGAUUUCAUUUCUUGCAAGAAAUUAGUAUUGUAGGAAUUGAAUAUUCACUUAGUUUUCACCAAAGCUCUCUCAUUUUGUUGUUUCAAGAGGAGGCUUCAUGUGCAAAUGCUGCUUACGAAGUCAAGAUUGGGGAAAAUAUCAACUUGAGUGUUAAAUGUUAAGUAUAUUUUCCAGUCUAUUAAAAUGUCGUUGGGGUCUCUGAGAUCCUAAACAGAGCAAGCAGUUAACGAUGGAAAUGGAAACCUGGAAUCUGGCUAUUGGGAUUAGAUGAGAGAAAGAGAAUUCAUCCUCUACUUUCUAGGGAGUUUUCGGGCAGGGUCCCAUGCAUGGAAAAGCCCCCCCCAGCCAUUAAUCUAAAUUACAUGAGCUCAUUGGUCUUUACUGGGGAGGGAGAUAACAUCACUGCCAACCUGCUCCACUCACACUCAAAUAUCAGCAGAUCAGUUCUCCUGCAGCUCUCCACCACAGCAAAGCACAGAGGUGCUUAGAGACAGAACAUUGUUUUAUGCAACAAAAAUCAUGUUAUCCUUGGCUGAGUCUGCUAACUGAUAAUAUAAUGAUUCACUUUGAAGUCAGCAAAGGAUAACAGCACAAAUGAGGCUUAUGUGAUGGCAAAUAAAAGUAUUAUAGGAUCCAAUACACUUUACAGUAAGGUUCUAUAUGUUAACAUUAGUUAAUGCGAUAGCUAGUGUGAAAUAACAGUGAACAAAAUUUUUCCAGAAUUAUUCACCCGUAAAGCCCUUUGCAUUGCAGGUGUCACCCGUCACACAGCUUCUUCAGUCUGCCAUCAGGGAGGAAGCUGAACUCCUUCCCGACCUUGACCCCCCCCCCUUUUCCCCAGGCAACACUGUACUUGCCCCCCAGCUCCCAUUAACGCACCGGAACCUGCACCAGACACUUUGUACAGCAUUGGUCUGCUCACUACCUCAUUCAGCAGUUAACUGACCUCAUUCAACUACCUCUUCUGUCAGUUUAAAUAAAGAACUGCUCUCUUUUGAUACUUUAAUCAGACUGAAUAAGCUCUUUUGCACUACAAUCAUUAUAUCUGCACUGUUUACUUCACUGGUUUGCACUCUUUCUUUCUCUGCUUUACUUAUCUUUCUUUUUACAUGACCUAUUUGUAUAUUUUUUAUAGUUGUACUUUUUUUAUUUUAUUAUCUGUAUUUAAUGUUCUACUGUUAGUGUUAUCUGUAUGCACCAAGGGUCUGAGAGUAACACAAUUUCAAUUCUCUGUAUGUAUGUACUGUACAUGUGGAAGAAAUGACAAUAAAGCAGACUUGACUUAACUUGACUUAAUAUAUAUUUUUUUUAAAUUGUUAAAUAUUAAAUUGUAAAUUGCUGUAAAAUGUUCAUUGUUUUCACACCUAGAACUAUACUUUUUAAGGUAACUAUAAUGAUAACCAUAUUAGCGUCCAUACCAACACACCAUACUGUUGUCUAUUACAAUCAUGUGCUGCAGUUGUUAUGGUUGUGGUGUGGACUCUGCUAUACUUUUACAUUUAGAACAAUUUUAAAACUAUAUUUUUAUCAUUAUGGUUAUUAUUAUUGGUGUGAACGGGCCUUAAUACAUUAACUAUUAUUAACAAAUUAAAUUUUUAUCUUAAAGUGUUACCAACAAUCUUACAUCUAAGCCAGAUGUAUCAAAGCUGAAUCUGACACCAUAAAUAUUUGGUUCUGUUUCCCCCAGUUCCUCCCAACUUCAUUUCAUAAAACCAUCUGCAAAGUUUUUAAAUAAUUAGAGGCCUGAAACUCAUUCUCUCGUUUCCAAAACAUUGUAAAACUUGUCAGACACUGAUGACAUUAAAAUGCAAACUUCAGCAUGGGUUUCUGGUCAAAGCCCUCUCUGACUCUGCAAAAUAUGUAGUUAUUAAUUCACAGACCGUAUCUGUUUCAGGCCUGAAAAAUUGAUAUGCGACUGGCCUCCUCGAUUUGGAUUAGAUAAUGAUCUAGCUCUGGGCCCCCGGGGGACAUCACAAUAGAAAAGGAUUAUGCUUCAUAUUCCAGGACCCAGCUUUGUUGGAUUGAGUUCCCUCACGGUAUGUUCUGCUCAUGGAAAUGUGGAUGACUCAAUCUUCUGAAGAGCUGAUUGGCCAAUUUGUUUUUUCUUUAAAACUUCUCUUUGAAAAGGAUACGGGCUGUGAAUUAAAGUGUCUGAAAACCGAGUGUGUGUGUAACUGAGCAUGCUCGUGUAUAUGUAGAUGAAUAGCUGACUGUGUUUAGCUGUAUGUUGAGAUUCGCUCAGUCUCUGUGUCACUUCACUAACUCUAACAAACGUGAGGUCACAACGACCCAGGUGCGUGUGCGCCAACUCUUGUGGUUCACUUUUAAUAGGAUUAUUUGUGCGGUAAUGACCCUUUGACUGCUGAUUUAUUUUGGUGGCCCUCUCAUGACCCACAUCAGGGCCUCGUCAUCUCCAAGCGCUCAGCCCCGGUUCUCACUCUCCUCAACAGCUGUGUGGCCAAUGGCUUCCAGAUUUUCAUAAUUUUCGCAGACCUGCCUGAUGACAGAUGAACUUUUAAUGUCUGUGAGUCUUGACGGUGCAAUCACUCACCGGUAUUGUUUUUGUCGGUAACCCCUAUGUCGAGCACUUCAAUGGCUUUUUUCUCGCUCUUUUUUUUUCAGCUGUAAGCAUCCAGAUGUGUGCAAAAAUGGGCUGUUUUCAUGAAUAUGGUGCAAAAUGGGACAUUUAACUGUGAAACUGUUUUGUAUGGGAUUUGCAGUUUGUGCUACCAAAAUUUGAGUCUAUACUAUAACAGAUUUUUAUAAAUAUUUUUUGAAUCAGCUUUUGUUUUUAUAUUGAUUAAAUUAAACUAUUUAAAAAAAAAAUUAAAUAUAAAGUACACAUAUUUAU
ensembl:lncRNA